rnacentral:misc_RNA from 1 species
GAUGAAGAACGUAGCGAAAUGCGAUAAGUAGUGUGAAUUGCAGAAUUCAGUGAAUCAUCGAAUCUUUGAACGCACAUUGCGCCCUGUGGUAUUCCGCAGGGCAUGCCUGUUCGAGCGUCAUUGACACCCUCAAGCUCUGCUUGCGUUGGGGUCCUGCGGCUGCCCGCAGGCCCUGAAAACCAGUGGCGGGCUCGCUAGUCACACCGAGCGCAGUAAUACAUCUCGCUUUGGGCGUGCGGCGGGUUCUUGCCGUUAAACACCCCCUUUUUACCAAGGUUGACCUCGGAUCAGGUAGGAAUACCCGCUGAACUUAAGCAUAUCAAUAAGCGGAGGA